GUGGGAGAAGACGAGGCGUUUUUUUUUGUUGUUGUUGUUGUUUAAACCUUCUUUCUCUCCGUUCACAUUUGUAAUUUGCAGCAUUUUUAAAAAUUUCUCGGACAGAUUCUAUGCAACACUGUACACGCGCACGUUGUGUCACCUGAGCGAAGGUGAAUGAACUUGCAACAUUUCCUCUCGUUGCAGCUGUGACUUUUGCUUUGCACCUGUUUGUUUGUUUGCUGCAGGCGGGAGGAGACUUUACGGUAAAUCCGUGCAUCCAGGUUCGGUGCGUAGCGUGAAGGACGACGAGAUCAGAGGAGCGAGGAGCCGACAACCCCGCCAAACAAAUGCACAUUAAAAUAUCGCCGGGAGGCUCGAGUGAAAAUUACCCCGACGUAGAAAUGACCUUAAUAUGAUGUAAUCAAUCAAACUGUCUGCUGGGACACUGGGAAUCACAAUGUUAAUCUUUUAGUUUGGAAGCGGUGGGGGGAAAAUAGCUUGUCAUAUUUUACAACUCAGCCAAAGAGCGCACGGUUUACGCAAGUUCAGUGACACAGUGUGGAUGAAGGAAAGCCACUGCAGCAAUGAGGGCUGUUUAGUGCUGCAGAAAUAUAUUUACAGAGUUUACAGGUGGGUUCAGACGUGUUGUGGUGCAGGCUGAAGGGCCUCGAGGCCUGGAUUUGCUCUUUUUAUUUUACUUUUUUUUUUUUUUUUUGCAUGACAUGACAGUGUCACAGAAUUAUAAAAGGCGAAAUCACCAAAAAUGUACCAUAUUAGUGUUUCUCUGCAUAUCAUAAAAGAAAUUCUCUGAAAUAAUACUCUCCAUUAAUAAAUGGAGAGAACAGUUUUCAUUUUUCUUAAGGUUUGACUGAGAUUUCUGCUCCACUGUAAUUCACUUUGAAUCCAUUAAAAUAAAGGAAUGAGUAAAAGCAUACAUAUUUUAAGAAAAAUAUAAUCGAGCCCUGUUUCAUUUUUGAAUAAAAAUACCUUUCAGUCACUAAGAAAAUGUGGUCAAAU
ensembl:lncRNA